rnacentral:misc_RNA from 1 species
GUUUUUCAAAAUUUUUUUUGCAAAGUCGGCUAAACGCACGUCGUAAGCUCUAGACCUCUUUGCUUCUCUUCAUAUCAUGUAGGUUGUGCGAGUCUUGUUGGUCUCGCGUCUUGCUAGUCUUCUGGAACUCAGCUGCUGCCUGCUUCUGAGAUAGGAAUUACGCGAUCUCCUUCGAUUUUCUGCUGUGGCCACCAUGUUUGAUGAUCAAGACCUUGGCUUCUUUGCCAAUUUUCUUGGCAUCUUCAUUUUUGUACUGGUAAUAGCAUAUCAUUAUGUGAUGGCUGAUCCUAAACAUAAAAGCAAGCUAAGAAAAGUUAG